GCAGUUAUGGUGUAGUUGGUAAGCACGCUUGCUGAUGAAGUAAGAGGAUGAGUUCAAAACUCAUUGACUGCA
rnacentral:tRNA from 1 species